AAUAGAUACCCGGGUAGUCCAUGCCGUAAACGAUGAGUGCUAAGUGUUAGGGGGUUUCCGCCCCUUAGUGCUGUAGCUAACGCAUUAAGCACUCCGCCUGGGGAGUACGACCGCAAGGUUGAAACUCAAAGGAAUUGACGGGGGCCCGCACAAGCGGUGGAGCAUGUGGUUUAAUUCGAAGCAACGCGAAGAACCUUACCAGGUCUUGACAUCCCAGUGACCACUCUAGAGAUAGAGUUUUCCCUUCGGGGACAUUGGUGACAGGUGGUGCAUGGUUGUCGUCAGCUCGUGUCGUGAGAUGUUGGGUUAAGUCCCGCAACGAGCGCAACCCUUAAUCUUAGUUGCCAUCAUUUAGUUGGGCACUCUAAGGUGACUGCCGGUGACAAACCGGAGGAAGGUGGGGAUGACGUCAAAUCAUCAUGCCCCUUAUGACCUGGGCUACACACGUGCUACAAUGGACGGUACAAAGAGUCGCUAACUCGCGAGAGCACGCUAAUCUCAUAAAACCGUUCUCAGCUCGGAUUGUAGG
rnacentral:rRNA from 1 species